rnacentral:tRNA from 1 species
UGUUCUAUGGCCGAACUGGUAAAGGCAUUGCCGAACUGGUAAAGGCAUUGCCGAUCACAGGCAACGUUGCAGGUUCGAGUCCCGCUGGAACGG